UCCGGCCCUUGUCCCCUCAGACCAGACGCUGCCCGACCCGACCCGACGCGCGGUGUCACCAGCAUCUGCUGCUCCUUCCCGCACCCGUCCGUCCCCCUGGCAGCGGGCAUGGGGCAUUGCUGGCCGGCGGGCGAUGAAAGCUUUCUCUCUCCAGAGAUUGCCUAACCGGCAUGCCACGGAAAACCAAGACAUUGGGCAGGAGUAGGAACUUGGACCUCUCCGCUUUGCCAUUCACUAAGGCCUGGGUCGGUCUACCAUCUCAGCCCCACUAUCCUCCAAUAACAUCCAUUCCCUUAAUACCUAAAGGGUUAUCCAUCCCUUAAGUUUGUUAACUAACUCAGCACCAUAGACAUCACAGGAAGUAUAUAGUAAAGAUUUGUUGCCAUCUGUUCUCAUUCUUAGUCCUUAAUCUGUUUAUUUAUUGUGUAUAUAUGGUCCAUGGUCUAUAGACACAUUGAACUUCUAUCUCCCAUUCAGUAUUAUGUUUACAUAUUCUGUUGUGCUGCAGCAAGUAAGAAUUUCAUUGUCCUAUCUGACAUGACAAUAAAACUCGCUUGACUCUUUUGACUAUUGGCCAACUUGUUUUUUUGACACUGACCUUGUAGCGGUAAUCAGACAAGGUAAACAUCAUCCCCAUAUUUAUGACACGUCUUGGUUUGGCACGCCACUGGGGAUAAAUGGGACUACUGUGGAUAGGGUGAGCAGCUUCAAAUACUUGAGAGUCCACAUCACAGAGGAUCUGACAUGGACAACACACACUGCCGCACUGGUGAGGAGGGCAAGGCAGCACCUUUACCACCUCAGGCAGCUGAGGAAAUUCAGUCUCUUUGAGGAUCCUUCAGUCCUACUCUGGGGCUGUAGAAAGCAUCAUGUCCGUUAACAUCGCAAUCUAGUUUGGGAACAGCUCUGCCCAGGACAGGAAGGCUCUGCAGAGUAGCGCGUUCAGCCGAAUGCACUAUGGGAACUACACUUACCCCCCUCACCUAUACACCAGGACGUGCAGAUCCAGAGCCAGCAAGAUAAUGAAGGACCCCUACCACCUCAGCAACGAACGGACUGUUGCGGCUGCUACAGUCAGGCAAGCGCCUCCGCUGUCACGCUGUGAGAACAGAGGGUGAGACGGAGUUUCUUCCCACAGGCCACCAGGAUUGUAAACUCUUAUCUCACCAGGGACUAAUUUACUGUUGUGUUGUGUCUUUUUAUUUUUGUAAAUGUAAAUACUGGUUCUGUUAUGUUCUGUUUUGUUCUUUUUGCACAAUCUGCAGGCAUUGCCACUUUCAUGUCACUGCACACCUUGUAUGUCUAUAUGACAAAUAAACUUGACGACUUGACUUCUUGUGCAGUUUGUUUUAUUCAGAUUUAAGACUCUAGUUUCAGAUUGAACAAAGUCUUGAGAUGUAACUUCAUUUUAUUGUUCUUGCUGUUUACUAAAGGCCUGUUAACCACCAGAUCAUCAGGACCUUUCUCGUUAGACAGUACGCUCUAAAAUUGUUUGUUCCUUAAUGGAUUCAUCAACAUAAUGAUAUAUUAAAAAGAUCUCUUAUGUACACUUUCAUUCUUCAUACCGUUUUGUUUGCCUAGUUCAAUUCACUAGUUUCACCUGCCUGUAUAUGGUUCAUAUCCCUACAAACCUUUCCAUGUACCUGUCCAGAUGUUUUUAAAAUGUAAUAGUACCUGCCUCAACUACCUCCCCUGGCAGCUUGUUCCAUACACCCACCACCCUCUGUGUGAACAAUUUGCCCCUCACGUGCCUAUUAAAUUUUUCCCUCGGCAGGUUCGGCGAUCGUUUUGCUGAACACCCCCACUCAGUCCGCAUAAACCUAUCUGAUCUCCAAGUUGCUCAGCACUUUAACUCCCCCUCCCAUUCCCAAUCUGACCUUUCUGUCGUGAGCCUCCUCCAUUGUCAGAGGCCCAGCGCAAAUUGGAGGAACAGCACCUCAUAUUUCGCUUGGGUAGCUUACACCCCAACGAUAUGAACAUUGACUUAUCUUACUUGAAGUAGUUCUUGCUUUCCCUUUUCCAUCCCAUCCCCCUGCCCAGUUCUUCCGCCAGUCUAACAGUCUCCGAUGACAUUUUAUAGUAUCUCUGUACCGUCCACUCCCCUGACAUCAGUCUGAAGAAGGCUCGACCCAAAACGUCGCCCAUUCCUUCUCUCCAGAGAUGCUGCCUGUCCCGCUGAGUUACUCCUGCAUUUUGUGUCUAGUCAUAUUGUCUUGUGUUGGACUUUAUCCCUGUAAACGUUCCCUACCCAUAUACUUAUCCAAAUGGUUUUUUUUAAACAUUGUAAUUGUAUUGUAUCUGCAUCUGCAGGCUGACAGCUCGUUCUAUUUACCCACCAUCCUGUGUGUGAAAAAGCUACCCCUCAGAUCCCUUUUAAAUAUGUCCCCUCUUACCUUAAAUAAGUCUAGUUUUAGACCCCCCCUACCCUGGGAAAAACAUUCACAUUAGCUAUGCCGAUUGUGAUUUUAUACGCAUCUAAAGGUCAUCCUUCAAUAUCCUCUGCUCCUGGGUCUCAGCCUCUCUUUAUAAAUCAAACCCUCCGGUCCUGGUUAAAUCCCCAUGAAUCUUUUCUGCACUCUUUCCAGAUUAAUAACAUAUUUCUUAUAGCAGGGCAACCAGAACUGCACAGAAUACUCCAACUGGGGUCUCAACAACUUGUACAGUUGUAACAUGAAGUCACAACUCCUGUACUUAGUGCCCUGACUCAUGAAGACAAGCAUGCUUCAUGUCUUCUUCAUCACCCUACUUGUAUCAUCCCUUUCAGGGAACUAUGUACUUGUACGUCCAAUCUAUACUAGCUCUUUAGAAAUUGUAAUCCAGCUAGUCCCCUUCCCCCUCCCUCUCCCCACCAACACACUGGUCAUUUUCCUUUUUGUUUAACCUUUCAGGUUUCUUUUAACAGCAUGAUUGAUUUUGCCUCCAACACUCUCUCUAACAGGGUAUUUCACUGUCAGAUUUUGCAUGAACUCGUGUUCAUUCUAAAUCUCGUUCCUGGCACAUCCUCUAAUAUGAACGGUUUCUCUCUACCCACUCUUUCUAACCUCCAUGAAUUUACACGUUACCAUGGUAACAUUUAAGAGACAUUUGGAGACAUGAACAAACAGAAAAUGGAGGGAUAGUCCAUCUGCAGCUUACAUUGGCAUCUCGGUGGGCAGACAUCCUGAGCGAAUGGUCUGUUCCUGUGCUGAACACCUUUAUGUUCAAUUAAAUUCCUUCACAUCCUCCAUUCGAAGGAGAACAACUCCAGCUUCUCCCAUCUGUUCACAAAAUGAAGGUCCCUCAUCCCUGAGGCUGUGGCAAUGGCUCACGGGACUCCCAAGACCUUUUUACCACUGAUAAGGCAGAAGUAGGCAACAUGGUGGAGCACUGUUCACCUAAUACACCCCAUGCAAUUAGCACCUCUCCAUCAUACGAACCAUUCAUUCCCUCCAGCACCAGUCACUGCUCCUGAAUGCACUGCGGUUACUCACCUACAUUACUUCAACAGCACCUUCCAAGCCUAUGAUCUUACCACGAAGGAAGACAGUGGACACCACUUGUUUCAAGUUCCCCGUCUACUCUCAUUCCGUCUUUAUUUGGAAAUAUAUCAUCAGUCUUUCAUAAUAAGUCUACAUUCUGGAAGUUCCUGCCAAACCACACCAUUACAUCGACAAUUAUUUUCUCCCCACAGAUGCUGCUCAACUUGCUGAGUAUCUCCAGCAUUUUAUUUACUCCAGAUUCCAGCAUCUGCCGUCUUUUGCAUCACCAUAACUCAAUUUAUCUGAUAGAAAGAACUGAGAAUGUUGGAAAUGCUCAGCGUCAGACAAUUGUAGAAAGGGAAUUAGAAUUGAUAGUCCAGGUUAAUGACAUUUCUUCAAGUCAGAAACCUGACACGUUAACUCUCUCCACAGAUGGUGCUGUUGACUGUUUCUGGCACUCUUUUUAUUUGUCAAAACCUUUUUUCUGCUUUUUGACAUAAAUCUGAAGUGUGACAUAAAGUCCAACAGAUGGCAGUGCAUGCAGCAUUUUCACCCAUUCGAACCUAAGGAUUUGAACACGAAGUAACACAAAUGUCCACGAAUAAAUGUCCAAGGGCAGAACAUCGAACAGUAGAGUCCAGGAACAUACCCUUCGGCCCACAAUGUCUGUGCCAAACAUAAUGCUAAGUUCAAACUAAUCGCCUCUGCUUCCAUUCCUGGCACAUUCAUGAACAGAAUUCUUGUCUUCAAACAGAAUGCAUCUCUUGUAACAAUGAAGUUGAUGAAAGGAGGCAUGCACCAUUUUAGACUCAGAAUAACCUCAAAUGAGCAAGAAAAUAAAACAAAGCAUGCCUGGAAUAAUAAAAACAGAGAAAGCUGUAAACAUUCAGCAGGUCAAGCAUCAUCUGUAGAAAAAAGGGACAUCAUGGUUGAGGAAGACAUCAGAGCAUCUGUGCAGAAAGUCUAAUGGUCAGAGCAGAUACAUGGAGGGGAAGAGAUUGGGAGAGAACAGAGUUCUUACUGGAGGCAGAGUGGAAGGAAGUAUGGUAGAGAUUCCUGUGGACCUGGAAUAGAUGUUUGUCAUUAACCUAUCACCUGAAAUGGACAGAGAUUCAGAAAGGGAAGAGUCAAGAGAUGAUAAACGUGGAAGAUCUUUGUCGUCAGUACUCAAAGUGGGUGCCUGCACACAGUGAAUGCAAGGGGCCUGUCACCAGAUAAAGAAUGAGCCCACCUACAGAGGCAGGGGCUAACAGGCUUGCACCAACGUGUACACAUGCAGCAGAUCAAAUCUAGCAGCAACACACAGACAGGCAGUCACACACAAACACUCAAAGAUUCUGGUGCAGGCAAACUAACAUCUGUACUCAGCCACACCAACACAUGUGCACCCUGCCAGGGCAGAACUUCCAUUUACUUUGUGCCGUGGUUGCCACACCCCUACACAAUUCCUGGUUGCAAGAUUUAUUACACUUAUUUAAAGAGCAUUUUAAAUUCUGUUAAUGCAGAAAGAUGUUUCCAUGCACAGUGCUGUUUAUAUCCAAAUAUCCUCCAGAGCUCCAAAAGCAAAGAAUUAA